UUUUACGAUGUACUUAUGUUAACUUUUCUUUUGUGUGUGUGUGCAGACUGUCUCCCUCUCUCUCCCCCCCCCCCUCCUCUCCCCUGCCACUGGUCUCGCUCUAGUGGCUGCGUUACCGGUGAUCACAGCCUGACAGACCGUCCUUGGGGAGCCAGGAGCACCGUUUACAGCUCUUUUGGUGUCAAUGCCUCCUGUCUGCUCUAAUUCCCACCUCCCCACUGUGCCUCCUACUCUUCCUCCACACUUCUCCCUACUCAGGACACUCAAAUCCAUUACACCGAGGAGCAGACAGGCACAAACAAACAAAGCCAAACAAGACAGCCGCCCCAUGUGCCUGCUGCGGAUCGAUUAUCCUGCUUAGUCACAAGUUUAAAACAAGCAUUAAAACACAUCUUUCCAGAGCUCAUCUGGCCGACAAGAAAAACAUCCACCAGUGACAUAAAGGGCAAACAAACAGGGCUGAAGAAGAAGAUGGCACUGAAGCGCCCAAAACUGUAGUCCCUCAAGUGGGCACUUGAGGCCUGAUUCAAAGCUUCAUCUUUGCAGACAUUGGGAGCUGUCAUUGCGCGACACCCUGUGACGUGGGUGACACUCAGCCGAUAUGACAGGUGCUGGACAGCAGACGCACUCCCAGGCGAGCUGGCUAUAUUUCUUCAGGAUUGCCCAUUCUGGGGGUUAAGACCAACAUAAAAAAAGUGGGAAAAACGGGAACCUCUGAUGCCACUAGAUCAGUUUCCUCUGCCAGUAUUCAUCUCCAUCACUGCCACAUCAGCUGGUCCCAAGGUUGUGAGGUCAUCCAAACAUCUGGCCCCUCCGCCAUGUUUCCUAAGAUCAUGGAAAGUAUGAAAAUCAUAAAACAUGAAGAAAGAGAAUCUGGUUCCCUGUUAAAAGAUACUGCCCUGUAACUUUGAAAAACCUAAUCAUAAUACAAGACAAGGGGGAUGUUCUUGGCUCCAAGGCUCAAAGGCUGAUGGAACAAGGCCCAAUUUCUGAGGCUGCCAGGUACAUGACCAAGGAGGUGAGGAGACCUUGAAGAGCUCAUAGUUGAAGGGCAAACAGGAUCAUAGAGCCAGUCUGUGAGCUGUGAUCAAAUACAUAUCUAGACAACACAGAUUAUGCAAAUGAGAUACAGAAAUAAUUGUGUUUUUUACACCACGUGUUCAGGUAAAAGAAAGUAGAUCUUUGAACUAACAUGAAAGGCUUUAUAUACCUGUUUGUGACAGAAGUCGACAGAGGCUGAGGUUUUCCUCUUAAUGCCACGUAAAGCCUUCAGUCCUCUGCCCGGCCCUCUGGUGUGAUAUGAAGUGAAAGCCAAUGUGGGGUUUGGCACUGGACGGCCAUUUUGUGUCUGGUCUGAUGCAUGGUUUCACUGGGUGUCACUUUGGCUACAUAUCAGAAUCCUCGGUGGCGGCGGUGAGCGAAGCUGCAGGUAUCAUUAAACCAUUUUUACGGCAACAGUUGAGCAGAAAAAGACAGAC